rnacentral:lncRNA from 1 species
CCUGGUGCGCGCCGAGUGCCGCGGGGCGCUGGACGGCGUCCCCUUCUGCAGCACCCUAAAAGGGUACGUGACCAUGCGGCUGGAGACCCUGGAGCAGGAGCAGCACCAGAGGCUGGAGUUCGCAGCGCACCCCAUAGAGACGAGGACCCACAUGGUGCAGCAGCCCCGCGGGAUGGCCGUCACCGUCAGCACCCGGGAGGGGAAGGCAGAACCCCGGUCCCGGGACUUCUCCUACGGCUGGGCCUCGCUGGGGGGGCUGCUGGGGGAGGCCGCCAGCCUCCUGCUGCUGCGGGUGCUGGCUCGCCGCCGCGCCGUGCCCCCCGGCCUCGUCUUCCCGGCCAUCGACGGCGAGGGGCACCUCGGCACCGCCACCUACGUGAGCCCUCCUGGCCCCUGGGCAGGGGGCGUUUUGGGGGGGAGGAUUG